GUUAAAAAGCUCGUAGUUGGAUUUCGGUUGAGAGCGGCCGGUCCGCCGUUUGGUGUGCACUGGCUGGUUUCAGCUUCCUGCAGAGGACGUGCUCUGGGCUUAAUCGUCUGGACGUGGAGUCUGCGUGGUUACUUUGAAAAAAUUAGAGUGUUCAAAGCGGGCUUACGCUUGAAUAUUUCAGCAUGGAAUAACACUAUAGGACUCCUGUCCUAUUUCGUUGGUCUCGGGACGGGAGUAAUGAUUAAGAGGAACAGUUGGGGGCAUUCGUAUUUCAAUGUCAGAGGUGAAAUUCUUGGAUUUUUGAAAGACGAACUUCUGCGAAAGCAUUUGCCAAGGAUGUUUUCAUUAAUCAAGAACGAAAGUUGGGGGCUCGAAGAUGAUUAGAUACCAUCCUAGUCUCAACCAUAAACGAUGCCGACUAGGGAUUGGCGGAUGUUAAUUGAUGACUCCGCCAGCACCUUAUGAGAAAUCAAAGUUUUUGGGUUCCGGGGGGAGUAUGGUCGCAAGGCUGAAACUUAAAGGAAUUGACGGAAGGGCACACCAGGCGUGGAGCCUGCGGCUUAAUUUGACUCAACACGGGGAAACUUACCAGGUCCAGACAUAGUAAGGAUUGACAGAUUGAGAGCUCUUUC
rnacentral:rRNA from 1 species